rnacentral:snoRNA from 1 species
CUGGCCCUGAAUCAAGACCAGCGGUUUUUUUGUAGCUGCUGGUUUCAAACAGGAGCCUAAAGAGAAGUCUUUCUAGGGUCCGUUGGCCAUUUCCGGACUUUGGAAAUGUAAUGGUUAGAAAGAAAUAGCU